rnacentral:ncRNA from 2 species
CCCGCCGAGGGGCGCUGCGACCGUGGGGCACACGUCCCAUAGGCCAGGCUCGGCGCGGCGUCCCACCGAACGGCGCCCCCGUGCU